AUUGAACGCUGGCGGCAGGCUUAACACAUGCAAGUCGAGCGGGGUGAUGGUGCUUGCACUAUCACUUAGUGGCGGACGGGUGAGUAAUGCUUAGGAAUCUGCCUAUUAGUGGGGGACAACAUCUCGAAAGGGAUGCUAAUACCGCAUACGUCCUACGGGAGAAAGCAGGGGAUCACUUGUGACCUUGCGCUAAUAGAUGAGCCUAAGUCGGAUUAACUAGUUGGUGGGGUAAAGGCCUACCAAGGCGACGAUCUGUGGCGGGUCUGAGAGGAUGAUCCGCCACACUGGGACUGAGACACGGCCCAGACUCCUACGGGAGGCAGCAGUGGGGAAUAUUGGACAAUGGGGGGAACCCUGAUCCAGCCAUGCCGCGUGUGUGAAGAAGGCCUUAUGGUUGUAAAGCACUUUAAGCGAGGAGGAGGCUCUUUUGGUUAAUACCCAAGAUGAGUGGACGUUACUCGCAGAAUAAGCACCGGCUAACUCUGUGCCAGCCGCCGCGGUAA
rnacentral:rRNA from 1 species